GGACGAACGCUGGCGGCGUGCUUAACACAUGCAAGUCAAGGGGGCCCGCAAGGGCAACCGGCGAACGGGUGCGUAACACGUGAGCAAGUUUCCUAUUAGUGGGGGAUAGCCGGCCCAACGGCCGGGUAAUACCGCAUAUCUUGAUCGGGUGGCAUCGCCUGAUCAGGAAACCUCCGGGGCUAAUAGAGGCGCUCGCGGCCUAUCAGCUAGUUGGUGAGGUAAUGGCUCACCAAGGCUAUGACGGGUAGCUGGUCUGAGAGGAUGGCCAGCCACAUUGGGACUGCGACACGGCCCAGACUCCUACGGGAGGCAGCAGUGGGGAAUAUUGCGCAAUGGACGAAAGUCUGACGCAGCGACGCCGCGUGUGGGAUGAAGCCUUUCGGGGCGUAAACCACUGUUGCCCGGGACGAACAUCCUCUUUCGAGAGGACUGACGGUACCGGGUGAGGAAGCACCGGCUAACUCUGUGCCAGCAGCCGCGGUAAUACAGAGGGUGCGAGCGUUGUCCGGAAUCACUGGGCGUAAAGGGCGCGUAGGUGGCUUGGUAAGCGUGUGGUGAAAGUCCGGGGCUCAACCCCGGAUCUGCCGUGCGAACUGCUGAGCUCGAGCAAUGUAGAGGCAGGUGGAAUUUCGGGUGUAGCGGUGGAAUGCGUAGAUAUCCGAAAGAACACCAGUGGCGAAGGCGGCCUGCUGGGCAUUAGCUGACACUGAGGCGCGACAGCGUGGGGAGCAAACAGGAUUAGAUACCCUGGUAGUCCACGCCGUAAACGAUGGGUACUAGGUGUCUGGGGGAGCGACCCCCUGGGUGCCGGCGCUAACGCAUGAAGUACCCCGCCUGGGGAGUACGGCCGCAAGGCUGAAACUCAAAGGAAUUGACGGGGGCCCGCACAAGCGGUGGAGCAUGUGGUUUAAUUCGACGCAACGCGAAGAACCUUACCUAGGCUUGACAUGCUGGAGAAAGCUCGCAGAAACGUGAGCCCCUCUUCGGAGUUCCAGCACAGAUGCUGCAUGGCUGUCGUCAGCUCGUGUCGUGAGAUGUUGGGUUAAGUCCCGCAACGAGCGCAACCCUCACUCUUAGUUACCAGCGGGUAAAGCCGGGGACUCUAGGGGGACUGCCGGUGCCAAACCGGAGGAAGGUGGGGAUGACGUCAAGUCAUCAUGGCUCUUACGUCUAGGGCUACACACGUGCUACAAUGGGCCGGACAGAGGGUCGCCAACUCGCGAGAGUGAGCCAAUCCCCAAACCGGUCCUCAGUUCGGAUUGCAGUCUGCAACUCGACCGCAUGAAGCUGGAAUCGCUAGUAAUCGUGGAUCAGCUACGCCACGGUGAAUACGUUCCCGGGCC
rnacentral:rRNA from 1 species